GUAUAAAUCAACAACAUUUUUAACACGACUAAUUCUUGAUUUUUCGGCAAGAAACGUGUGAUGCAGAGCUGCCAAAAAUCCAAUCAGGAAAAUGUUUUGCUUUAAUAUUUGGUUUCACUAAUCUGCUAUUUGUCUAUGCAUCAUUGCCUUUAAACGUUUCUGGGGUAGUGUGAAAUUAGGAGGAGAAGAGUAUAAGCACACAUCGUAACAUUUUAUUUCGUGGUCGUUUGGUGUUUAAUGCCAAGAAAUUAAAGCAUGUCGAUCUAUAUAUCAACUUGCCAAAAAC